rnacentral:rRNA from 1 species
GAUGAACGCUGGCGGCGUGCCUAAUACAUGCAAGUCGAGCGAAUGGAUUAAGAGCUUGCUCUUAUGAAGUUAGCGGCGGACGGGUGAGUAACACGUGGGUAACCUGCCCAUAAGACUGGGAUAACUCCGGGAAACCGGGGCUAAUACCGGAUAACAUUUUGAACCGCAUGGUUCGAAAUUGAAAGGCGGCUUUGGCUGUCACUUAUGGAUGGACCCGCGUCGCAUUAGCUAGUUGGUGAGGUAACGGCUCACCAAGGCAACGAUGCGUAGCCGACCUGGGAGGGUGAUCGGCCACACUGGGACUGAGAAACGGCCCAGACUCCUACGGGAGGCAGCAGUAGGGAAUCUUCCGCAAUGGACGAAAGUCUGACGGAGCAACGCCGCGUGAGUGAUGAAGGCUUUCGGGUCGUAAAACUCUGUUGUUAGGGAAGAACAAGUGCUAGUUGAAUAAGCUGGCACCUUGACGGUACCUAACCAGAAAGCCACGGCUAACUACGUGCCAGCAGCCGCCGUAA